AGAAGGGGGCUGUUGUAAGAGGAACUAGGGCUGGGAGUCCGCUGAAGGAGCAGGAGCAGGGCCAUGCCCCAGCCGCCCCCCGGAACUUCCUGAGCCUGCUCCCCGGCCACCACCCAUUCAGGCACUCCCCCACAGGGGCCCAGACAUCAACCCCCAUCAUGGGCAGCAAGGAGCGCUUCCACUGGCAGAGCCACAAUGUGAAGCAGAGUGGAGUGGACGACAUGGUGCUGCUGCCCCAGAUCACCGAGGACGCCAUCGUGGGCAACCUCCGCAAGCGCUUCAUGGACGAUUACAUCUUUACCUACAUCGGCUCCGUGCUCAUCUCCGUAAACCCUUUCAAGCAGAUGCCCUACUUCACUGACCGAGAGAUCGACCUCUACCAGGGCGCGGCCCAGUACGAGAAUCCCCCGCACAUCUAUGCCCUCACGGACAACAUGUACCGGAACAUGCUCAUUGACUGUGAGAACCAGUGUGUCAUCAUCAGUGGAGAAAGUGGAGCUGGGAAGACAGUGGCAGCCAAAUACAUCAUGGGCUACAUCUCCAAGGUGUCAGGAGGGGGCGAGAAGGUCCAGCAUGUGAAGGAUAUCAUCCUGCAAUCAAACCCACUGCUGGAAGCCUUUGGCAAUGCCAAGACCGUGCGCAACAAUAAUUCCAGUCGCUUUGGCAAGUACUUCGAGAUCCAGUUCAGCCGUGGUGGAGAGCCCGACGGGGGCAAGAUCUCCAACUUCCUGCUGGAGAAAUCUCGCGUGGUCAUGCAAAAUGAAAACGAGAGGAACUUCCACAUCUACUACCAGCUGCUGGAAGGGGCCUCUCAGGAGCAGCGGCAGAACCUGGGGCUCAUGACCCCCGACUACUAUUACUACCUCAACCAAUCAGACACCUACAAGGUGGACGGCACCGAUGACCGGAGCGACUUCAGCGAGACUCUGAACGCCAUGCAGGUCAUCGGGAUCCCGCCCAACAUCCAGCAGCUGGUUCUGCAGCUCGUGGCGGGGAUCUUGCACCUGGGAAACAUCAGCUUCUGCGAAGAUGGAAAUUAUGCCCGGGUGGAGAGUGCAGACCUCCUUGCCUUCCCCGCCUACCUCCUGGGCAUUGACAGCGGGCGGCUGCAGGAGAAGCUGACCAGCCGCAAGAUGGACAGCCGCUGGGGGGGGCGCAGCGAGUCCAUUGACGUGACCCUGAACGUGGAGCAGGCAGCCUACACACGGGAUGCCCUGGCCAAGGGGCUCUAUGCCCGUCUCUUCGACUUUCUUGUGGAGGCCAUCAACCGUGCCAUGCAGAAGCCCCAGGAGGAGUACAGCAUCGGCGUGCUUGACAUCUACGGCUUUGAGAUCUUCCAGAAAAAUGGCUUUGAGCAGUUCUGCAUCAACUUCGUCAACGAGAAGCUACAGCAGAUCUUUAUCGAACUCACCCUCAAGGCUGAACAGGAGGAGUAUGUACAGGAGGGCAUCCGCUGGACCCCCAUCCAGUACUUCAACAACAAAAUCGUCUGUGACCUCAUCGAAAACAAGCUGAGUCCCCCUGGCAUCAUGAGCGUUCUGGACGACGUGUGCGCCACCAUGCACGCCACGGGCGGCGGUGCCGACCAGACGCUGCUGCAGAAGCUGCAGGCAGCCGUGGGCACCCAUGAGCACUUCAACAGCUGGAGCUCUGGCUUCGUCAUCCACCACUACGCUGGCAAGGUCUCGUAUGAUGUCAGCGGCUUCUGUGAAAGGAACCGAGAUGUCCUCUUCUCCGACCUCAUUGAGCUGAUGCAGACCAGUGAGCAGGCCUUCCUCCGGAUGCUCUUUCCUGAGAAGCUGGAUGUAGAAAAGAAAGGCCGCCCCAGCACUGCCGGCUCCAAGAUCAAGAAACAAGCCAAUGACUUGGUGUCCACGCUGAUGAAAUGCACACCCCACUACAUCCGCUGCAUCAAACCCAACGAGACCAAGAGGCCCCGUGACUGGGAGGAGAACAGGGUCAAGCACCAGGUGGAGUACCUCGGCCUGAAGGAAAACAUCAGGGUGCGCCGGGCAGGCUUCGCCUACCGCCGCCAGUUCUCCAAGUUCCUGCAGAGGUAUGCCAUUCUGACCCCUGAGACGUGGCCGCGGUGGCGUGGGGACGAGCGUCAGGGGGUCCAGCACUUGCUGCGGGCUGUCAACAUGGAGCCGGACCAGUACCAGAUGGGGAGCACCAAGGUCUUCGUCAAGAACCCCGAGUCGCUCUUCCUUCUGGAGGAGAUGAGAGAGCGAAAAUUCGAUGGCUUUGCCCGUACCAUCCAGAAGGCCUGGCGGCGCCACGUGGCAGUCCGGAAGUACGAGGAGAUGCGGGAGGAAGCUUCCAACAUUCUGCUGAACAAGAAGGAGCGUAGACGGAACAGCAUCAAUAGGAACUUCGUCGGGGACUACCUGGGGCUGGAGGAGCGGCCAGAGCUGCGUCAGUUCCUGGGCAAGAGGGAGCGUGUGGACUUCGCUGACUCGGUCAACAAAUAUGACCGUCGCUUCAAGCCCAUCAAGAGGGACUUGAUCCUGACGCCCAAGUGCGUGUAUGUGAUCGGGCGGGAGAAGGUGAAGAAGGGACCUGAGAAGGGCCAGGUGCGUGAGGUUCUGAAGAAGAAGCUGGAGAUCCAGGCACUGCGGGGAGUUUCCCUCAGUACGCGGCAGGACGACUUCUUCAUCCUCCAAGAAGACGCAGCUGACAGCUUCCUGGAAAGCGUCUUCAAAACCGAGUUUGUCAGCCUCCUGUGCAAGCGCUUUGAGGAGGCGGUGCGGAGGCCCCUGCCCCUCACCUUCAGCGACACGUACGAUCCCCACCUCCCGCACCAUCCACGGGCUGGGCUUGGCACAGCAACCCCUCACAGACUGGCCGAAAGGCACCCGUGCUCCCCCUCCCACUCCAGCCUGGGUCUGACAAAGAUGGGAUGACGAGGUGACCCUGCCUAGGGGGUAGGGACCCCCACAGCUUCCUCCUCUCCUCACAGACUACAGUUCCGAGUGAAGAAGGAGGGCUGGGGCGGAGGUGGCACCCGCAGCGUCACUUUUUCCCGCGGUUCCGGCGACGUGGCGUUGCUCAAAGCUAGCGGCCGGGCCCUCACGGUCAGCGUGGGUGAUGGACUGCCCAAAAGCUCCAAGCCUACACGGAAGGGAAUGGCCCAGGGAAAACCUCGAAGGUUUGCCCAGGCCCCUACUCGAGCAGCUCCCGGGCCACCCAGAGGCCUGGAUCGCAAUGGCGUGCCUCCUUCUGCCAGAGGUAGCCACCUGCCCCUGGAGAUCACAUCCGCAGGGGGCUCCCAAAGACCACCACGGGGCCCUCCGUCUUCAGCCUUGGGGGCCAGCAGACGCCCACGGGCACGGCCCCCCUCGGAGCACAACACAGAAUUCCUCAAUGUGCCUGACCAGGGCGUGGCUGGCAUGCAGAGGAAACGCAGCGUGGGGCAGCGACCUGUGCCUGGUGUGGGCCGACCCAAGCCCCAGCCACGGGCACACGGCCCGAGAUGUCGAGCACUGUACCAGUAUGUGGGCCAAGAUGUGGACGAGCUGAGCUUCAACGUGAACGAGGUCAUCGAGAUCCUCUUGGAAGAUUCCUCAGGCUGGUGGAAAGGGCGGCUGCACGGUCAGGAAGGCCUCUUCCCAGGAAACUAUGUGGAGAAAAUCUGAGUGGGGCAGGGGCCUGCCCUCCCACCUGCCUGCCUGCCCAGGAGCCAGGCCUUGCAAUGCAGAUCUCUCGUUCCCCUUGACUGCACUGGCCAGAAGGUCCAGUCCUGUGGCCUCCAGCCCAGCCUAGCCCAGGUGCUGGGUCUGGGGUCACCACUGCAGCCGCCCCCAGGCCCUGGCCUCCCCCACAUCACACUGGUUUCCUCCUAUGUCAAACAGGGCUAACAGCAGAACCUACCUCCCAGCCGCCUUGUCAGUAGGAAAUGAAUUGUGUCCCACAGGCCAAGUGCAGGGCAUAGUCGGGGGAGGAGGGCUUGACAAGCAUGACUUCCCUCCUUCCCUCAUCACUGAGGCAAUAAAUGUUUGCUGAGUGAAAACAUGAA